rnacentral:rRNA from 1 species
AUUGAACGCUAGCGGUAUGCUUUACACAUGCAAGUCGAACGAGCGGCGGACGGGUGAGUAAUAUCUCGGAACGUGCCCAGUAGCGGGGGAUAACUACUCGAAAGGGUGGCUAAUACCGCAUACUAUUAGAUGUGCCGAUAUCGGAUUAGCUAGUUGGUGGGGUAAAGGCUCACCUAGGCGACGAUCCCUAGCUGGUUUGAGAGGACGACCAGCCACACUGGGACUGAGACACGGCCCAGACUCCUACGGGAGGCAGCAGUGGGGAAUUUUGGACAAUGGGGGAAACCCUGAUCCAGCCAUCCCGCGUGUAUGAGAAGGCCUUCGGGUUGUAAAGUACUUUUGGCAGAGAAGCGGUAUCUGCAGAAUAAGCACCGGCUAACUACGUGCCAGCAGCCGCGGUAAUUC